rnacentral:lncRNA from 1 species
ACCAAAUGAAAAGCACACAACAUAGCUAAUAGCGCAAUAAAACUAAGCUGCCAAUAUUCUUUACCCUGAUAAAAUCACCAAAUAGAAGCAGACAAUAUAGCUGAUAAAACGAUAAAACACAAAAUUUAUGCCACCAACAUCCAUCAAUGCCUGAUUUGGCCAAGGCAUCUGCCCAACAAUUUGCCUUUUUACACUCAAUUUUAACUUGAACAAUUGUAGAUCAAUCCUUUUAAACAAAAACGACUAUUACCAGCAUGACUACAACCAAUAAUAAAAUUAUCAACAACUAGGGAUAGAACAUCUCGAGCAUCUAGGUCACGAUCAGAAUGGUCAACCGAAUCACCGAAGGAGCUACCAUUCGGGACAUCAGCAUGAACAGAUUGUCGAGACGCUAUCAGGAGCACCCGAACCAACCAAGCCCCCUAAAAGGUAAUCAUCAAUCAUGACACCAAGGGGUUGAGAAUCCAAAUACGCAAAAUCAUACCCCGACGAUGCAGCAGUACACAGAGAUUUAAGAGCAGUUUAGGCUCUUAUUGGAGAAAUACAAUCAGCAACAUGAGACUAUACAACAAAAUGCUCAGAUUAUUCAUGAACUUAGGGUGGAGCAGUCUCCUCCAAAAAUAGUGAAUGUGAAACCAAUGGCAUGAAGAAAUCGUGUCAUUUGCGGCUGGGUGAAGGGAACACCCCACAAAAGAAGGAAAAAAGGACCUGAGGCGUGGCCCGGAG